ACACUGAUCCAGAUUCAUCACUGAAAGAGUUUAAGAACGAAAAAUAACUGUCUUCUGACUUUUUAAUCUUUAAUUCCCUCCCUGUUUAUUAUUACUUUCUACAGUGAGUAAUUUAAAAUGUUCGUGUGUAAAACUGCCCGAUUUUGAGAGGGCUGUUAACAUACUCUGGAGAAGAAGUCCCCAAAGAAGGUGUUUACAGGUGGCUAUAUUCCAUUUAUACUGUGCCGUCACAACCUAAACGUCAUCACACGAGCCUCUUUGGAAGAAUCCCCGGGGACUCGGGCAGGAAGACGCCCGUCCACCUGUCCUGCUCCAGGGCCUGCAGCGGUGGACAGCGAGGACGGGAGGUCACGACAGUUCGGAGAAGGUGUCCCGCUCGGGCCCCCUGAGGGCUUCUAGGGAGUACAGAGGACAGUUAGGAUGCGGAGAAAGAAAAGGAAUGAGAGAGUACCACACGUGAUGCAUCAUUUAAAGGCUACGGUUUAAUGGGAGAAACAGACACAUCUGCAAUUGCAGCACAGAACACACAUAUAAUGAUGGGCCAGGGGAAAUGUGCAGGGACACGAAAGAAGGACUCAUUUGUUCCAUGUGAGAUAGCAGUAAAGCACAGGGGAAGCGACUCAGAGGGGCACUGAGGGAGGCCCAGGAGCUCUCUUGGAAGACCAGCCGGACUGACGAAUGGACAGUUUUCAGAUCGAGCCGUCAUCAACAUCUGCAGGGAAAGAAAUAUGGGAUCUAUGAUGUUUACAGCAUUAAGUGUGGAUGUGACACCCCAGUCCAAACAGCAUUUUCAAGAAUUGUGUGUGGCAGGGGAAAUGCCAUACGGAAAUAAAGAAAAUAAUUAUUAUGCUUUAUGUUAGAGUAUGCCAGAAAAAAAUUAACUUAUCCAGCAAACAUUUAUUGUGCCCCACCACAGGCCAGGGAUAUGGAGAUAAUGAAAGCUUUUCAUUGCCUCUGACUUAGCCAUUGUCCAGUAUGUGAAAAUAUGAACGCCUUUAACUUCGCCCCUACAAGCCCAGUUUUCUAGGCAGUGGAACCUUAGGGUGAUACAGGACUUUCGUGUCCAAGACAAGGCAGUGUUGUUCACAGGCUGCAGGCCUCCCAGUCGAGCACGGAGAUUUCAUGAUACCCUCUUUACUUCUGGGGCUGGGGAAGCCUGGGAGACUCAGUUCCCCCACAAAUCUGGAUCAUCAGGCAGGAGGGCAGAGACUGAUGGUUCUGCUCUGGAGGGGGCGACCUGGCCUGUGGGACGCUCAGGGAAGGGUGCCCAAGGCAAUGGGGCGAUCAAGCGAGC